UGGAAAUGGGGAUGCUACAUUGUAAAGACAGUUUUCAGUACAAUCCUACAGUCUACUUGAAAGUAAUUUAACUCAAUGAGGCUUACUUCCCAAUGACAUUGACUUGUCAGAACUACCAGCCCCUGAUGAAUAUGAACAGCUAUGGAGGCGAGACAUUGUGUGUGUCUUGGACUUGAUAAAGAAGUCAAGGGUGAGUGCACAGAGGUCACGGCUGGCGUAGCUCUCGAUGCAGCGGCAACAGAAACGCUAUCAGAAAACAUCUGCCUCCUCCCCCAAACACGCCAGGUGUCAAACGCUCAGGGCUCAACAUGGCAGCCAUAUUCUGACACAGCUUUACGGGAUGGCUUGCCUCCUGAUCCCCCAAGGAACACUGAAGCAUGAACGGAUCAUAAAGCCACCAUGAGCAGCAUUACAGGUUGUAUGAUUUGUUAUUCUCCAUUAUUUCCCCUCAGUUCCAUGGCCCAAGAAUCAUGUUAUUUGAGACAAUUCCGGUGCUAAUAUUAAGGAGCCAGGUCCAAGGUGGAGAUAAUGAUGGUCAACAUAGAUUUAUUCAAGAGCAGAGUCCUGACACUCAAGGAGGAUGCAAAACAGGGCUAGUGAGGGUGUGGCUUAGGGAGAAGGGGUGUGGCUUAGGCAGAGGUCAUGGCCUAUAGCAAGGGCCUUAUUCAGCUUCUGGGCUGUCCCUGCCCUACACCUAAACCUGUUUAUAUGAAAUCGGCUUCACUGAAAUUGAGUUGAAUUCCAAGCAAGUGUGUUCAUUCUUCAAGGCUGGGGAUAUGGCAGUUUGGGUUAAGUGGUAGAUUCCUGUGCAAAUCUUGCUUCUGUGUGCAAUAUUUGACACAAGGAUUACAAUUUAUAUUUGCACCUCUUAUUAGUAUCCAUCAAGGUGCUUUACUCCUUGGAUCCUCAUGAAAACUAAGCAAGCCAGUUCAUCUUUCCAUUUGCUCUAUGUUUAAAAAUAAAAGAAAUCAAUAGUAUUCCACUUCUGUAUCAUAAUUUUUUUUUAACUCCUGAUCGGUAAUUUUAUGACCUGAAGGUCAUGGCUAUUGAAAGCUGAGGUCUAGUCUGAUUAAUCCACCAUGUCGGCUCCGUAUUACAAGAUCUUUCAUUGUCUUCAAUUAAAGUGCUGAAAAUGAAUACCACCUGUGCACUCAUAGUUACAAUGUCAAUAAAGUCCAUUAUAAUUAUACACCGCUUGAUGACAAAUGACAUGCCGAAGGGGUGACAAGCUCAUUUUGGUUUGGGUGGAGAGCAGAGAGAGCUCUUCUGUGAACUGGGAACAUCUAUUUUUGUCCAAUCUUGGUCACACCAAAAAGGGAGGAAAAUCCUUCUGUGACCUAUCUCCCCCCUACCAGCUUUAAACUGUACAAAAUAUUUAUGGUAAUUAGAGGUUCCCCAACUCAGCACCAUAAAUGCAAGAGCAGUCAAAGAAGACCAUCUGUUCAGUCUUCUGGCUGAAAGGCAAAGGCCACCCACCUCUCCAACCUGUGCAUACCCCAGGACAUAUAGGUAUGGGUGCUGCUUAUAGAACAAAUGGUACUAAGAUAGCUCAAGCAAGUGAGACAAACUGUAUGCAACAUGGGGAUUCUGGCACCAAUUCUCAGCCAGGCCUGUGGGUAGCUAUAAUGCAAAACUGAAACUGGAAGCCAUGCUCUUGUCAUCUUAGGGUGCUUGUUUUCAGUGACUAGACCCUUAGAGCCAAGGGAUGCAUUAUUAUUAUUAUUAUUAUUAUUAUUAUUA